rnacentral:lncRNA from 1 species
AUGAAUAUUAAUAUUACGAACAAAAAAGAAGAUAACAGAUGUAAGAUUGUUAUUAAUCCUGGUGGAAGUAGGUACAAAAAUUUGAAUAAAAAAAAUAUUACUAUUAGGCAUCCUGAAAUAAUAAAGCUGAAGGACGAAAAGUGUAUGAUGGAGGAGACAUAUGGUAAUUACUACUAUGAACAGUUUAUAAAAAAUAUGUGGGAAAAUACAAGUAAAGAAGUAUUAAAAAAUCAUAAAUAUGAUAAUCAUAAUAAUAACAUUUAUAAUACAGUAGGAGGGUAUAAUAAUAACAUUUAUAAUACAGUAGGGGGAUCUAAUAAUUAUUCAAAAAUGUUAGGGAAUGUUUCUGUUUACGAAAAUAGUUUUGAUUAUAAUGAAAGAAAUUGUGAUCCAUAUAUAUAUUAUGAGGAUAAUGCAAUUAAUAAUAACAAUAAUAUGAGUAAUGUCAAAGAUAACAAUAUAAACUAUUUAAGUUUGAGCAACUCCUUAUACAUUUAUUGUUUUCUUUUUGUUAGUAUUUACCUUUUAGAUUCCAAUGAACAUUUAAUAUACAAACCUGAUACUGUUGUAAGUGAAAAUGAAGAAAUGGAAUUAGAUGGUGCUUGUAAAGUAGAUACAUGUGAUAAUUAUUUGAACUUGAAACAAGUGGAAGAUAAUUGUACUGAACAAGAAGAUUAUCAUACUUAUAAAAAAAAAAAAAUAAAAAAAAACAAAAAACAUUCUCAUAAAAAACAUGGCUUAUAUGAACAAGUAGAAAGUGAAGAUAAAGUUGAAUCAAUAAAAGGGAAGGAGAAUAUAACAAAUAAACAAAAUGAAGUAAGAAAACAUAAAGAACGAAUGAAAGAAAGUAAUGGUAGUAAAUAUCAAUCUGUAGAACCUGAAAUUAAAAGUGUGUUAGAUGGUGAUAACGACAAUAUGUAUAAUAAAUUGAACAAAGAAUUGAACAAAGAAUUGAACAGAGAAUUGAACAAAGAAUUGAACAGAGAAUUGAACAAAGACAUAUAUCAAAAAAAUAUUUAUAAUAAUGAUGAUAACAUUAUUAUUAAAAAAAAAAGCAAUUACUCUACUAUAUAUGAUAAAAAUUAUGGGGAUUAUUAUGAAGGUGUAACAUAUGACAAUAAUUAUACCACUAGUACCACAUUUGUUAAUAAUAACAAUGACGACAGUGUAAAUUACAAUAACAAUUACUACCACUAUGAUAAUUAUAACAAUUAUAAUAAUAAUAACUAUAAACAAAAUUAUAAAUAUAAUAAUUAUUACGAGAAUGAAAACAAGAACUACCUUAACUACAACGACAACGAAAAUUACGAAAAUUAUGAAAAUUACAAUAAUGAUAAUUUGAAUAAUAACGAUGAUAGUGACAAUAGCGACAACAGUGAUGACAUGGUUCUAACUUUAUCACCCAGUUCACACAACUUAGAUGUUAAAGAAUUAUUUUUAAUAUCUUAUGCUACUGAAAAUAUCCAGAAUAAAGAAAAUGUAACUACAGGUGUGAAUAAACAUAUAUUCGAAUAUUUAAACGAUAUGAAAGAAAAAUAUGUAAACAUUUAUAUGAACAAUAUGGAAUUAUAUGGAGGUAAUAUUUAUCCUUUUGAAUUUCAUUAUAUAGAUAAUUUUUAUAAAGAUAUUCAUUUACCUUUAAUGAAUUUAUCUGAAUAUGAUGAAUAUACUUUUUUUAUUUAUUUAUUUUAUUUAAAAAACUCUCAUUAUAUAUUAAAGAAACAAAUAAAAAAAGAAAAAAAAAAAGAAAAAAAGAUUUUUCAGAUAUUACUACUACGGCUUCAAAAAAAAGAACUCCAAAACGUAAAUUAA